rnacentral:rRNA from 1 species
UCAUUGCACACACAGAGAGCAGCAGCAAACCCCCCGUCUUUGGCGAACUUCAUGAAUGUCCCCCCUCGGCCGGUGUCCUCCCCCUCCCUUCCCUGCUAGCCAGCCUGCCUGCAGCAGAUGGUUGGUUGGUUGGUCGGGGGCCCGUGCCGAGCCCGAGUCCCCCCUCCUCCCCCCCAAAUCGGUGGUACCCUCCCGGUCUGGCGUGUGUUGGUCGGGGGACUUGGUGACAAAACCGAUGGCGCAAUGCACCAACACCUUCAAAAUAUGACUGAGUAUGGAAAAACCGGGGGGGCGUGCGUGCGCGCCCCCCCCGAGUUGUGAAAAUAAACAAGAACAACUCUCAGCAACGGAUAUCUUGGCUCCUGCAACGAUGAAGAACGCAGCGAAAUGCGAUACGUAGUGUGAAUUGCAGAAUUCCGCGAAUCAUCGAGUCUUUGAACGCAAGUUGCGCCCGAGGCUUGCCCUGGGGCAUUUCUGUCAGAGCGUCACCGCGACACCCACCGACCCCCACUCCCUCUUGGAUGAAUGAGUGGGGGCCGAGUGAAAGUGGCCAUCCGAGCGGCUCCUCCUCCUCCUCCAAUGGUGGAGAGAGAGAGAGAGGCGCUGGGUUGGCUGAAAUGGAGGGAAUUCUGUGCCGCCGUGGCGACACGGCCCGCGAUCAGGUGAUGAUCCAAGUCUCGUUUCUUGGAACUCAAUGUGUGUUGGCCGUGUCUCCCCCCCAACUCAGUGUUGGUUGUUGGUGCCGAGGAUUCCAGAGCAGGUCCCUCCUCCUUCAGAAUUUUGAAGGAGUCGGAAAUCGUGUCACGCAUA